GCCUGGGUGGGCUCAGUCGGUUGAGCAUCUGGCUUCGGCUCAGGUCAUGAUCUCACAGUUUGUGGGUUCGAGCCCCACAUCAGGCU
rnacentral:tRNA from 1 species